rnacentral:lncRNA from 1 species
GAUGUGCCUGGGUAUGGAGGGGAUAACCCUCUGCUGCCCGAAGUUCUCUGCCUGGAAAGGGAGUGGUAACCUACCCUUCUAAUCUUGAAAAGGUGCAGACCUGCAUAGUGAAACUACCCACAGCAAGGAUGUAUGCCUGUGAGUUGGCACAGAAUCGGUGGAUCAGACUUGGCCUUCAACCUCCUGUUAUCCUGAUGAAAUUGCAAGCUCCAAACAACAGAGACACAACAUUGACCAACAGUAAGAUGCUUGAAGAAAUAUUUCUUUCAGGACAAACUCUGUGCAUCCCAUGAGGGUGGAUGGAUGGACUGAUGAGGACAAAGCCAGUGACAUCAUGAGCAGGAAACAAUGUUUCUCUCAAGCUGCAGCUUCAAAAUGUCAAACAGCCUCUUCCUUGGCUGACAACUGCUUUCUGACUCAACGGGAGACCUUGUUCUCCAACGUCAGGGGCUGUCAGAAACUUUGCUUAUGAGUAAGAAGAACAUCCCAGUUCUUGGAGGAUCUACAUCCACCUCUUCACAGAAGCACAGAGCUACAGAGAAGGGGUUUCUGGAUGGAACAUUCCAAAUCUGGCAGGACUUUAUGGGUUCUAAGGACACAAGACCUAGGUCCACUUUGCAGAGCAGAUUUGACACUGGCUGCUUUACACUAAGACCUGCCAUGCUCUGAGUCCAUCACUACAGCCUCAAAAAUCCCUCCCCACAGUCUUAUAAUAUUCUCUUUGCUUUGUUUUUUGAAUCAUCCCAGGUUGGUUGAUGUGAAUUUAUUCCCUUUUUGCUACAAGCCAAUAGUCUGUUGACUGCAAAAUCAGUUUUGGUGACUGACUGCACUAAGAUAUAUAUUAUUUUUCUGGAAUUUGGGAUGAUUGUAGUAUUUAUUAGGACUUUAAGAUGAGUAAUUUGUUGUGACUUAUUUCCUCUUCUUAAAUAAACACUAACUUUUGUGCUUA